UAGGUUGGAGACUACAUAAGACUUUGACAGUUGGCGGGAAACCAUCAUCAACUGGAGAGAUGCCGGAAGAGGAAUGUCUGCGACUAAGUCAAGGGCCACUGGAUAAGGGUUGUUGAUGGCAAAACAGGUUGGAGACUACAUAAGACUUUGACAGUUGGCGGGAAACCAUCAUCAACUGGAGAGAUGCCGGUAAAAAGAUGGCCAUAAAACAGUGACCGCUGAUUCGCAUUGAGUUCUUUCUUACAUAUUGGAUGACCUAUGUUUUUUAUUGUUUAAAUCAUUGCGGCUUGGAAUGCUCUUUAAGAAAAGGUAUGGUUAUGGGGGUGUCUACGCGCAAAAGUUUGACUUUAUUUUUUGUUAAAGUUAUUGCUUUUACAUUGAAUUUGUGCAGGAAAUCUUUUGGUAUGUUGUGA